rnacentral:rRNA from 1 species
UACGGGAGGCAGCAGUGGGGAAUCUUGCGCAAUGGGCGAAAGCCUGACGCAGCCAUGCCGCGUGGAUGAUGAAGGUCUUAGGAUUGUAAAAUCCUUUCACCGGUGAAGAUAAUGACUGUAGCCGGAGAAGAAGCCCCGGCUAACUUCGUGCCAGCAGCCGCGGUAAUACGAAGGGGCUAGCGUUGCUCGGAAUUACUGGGCGUAAAGGGAGCGUAGGCGGACAUUUAAAGUCAGGGGUGAAAUCCCAGAGCUCAACUCUGGAACUGCCUUUUGAUACUGGGUGUCUUGAGUGUGAUAGAGGUAUGUGGAACUCCGAGUGUAGAGGUGAAAUUCGUAGAUAUUCGGAAGAACACCAGUGGCGAAGGCGACAUACUGGAUCAUUACUGACGCUGAGGCUCGAAAGCGUGGGGAGCAAACAGGGAUUAGAUACC